GAUGAACGCUGGCGGCGUGCCUAAUACAUGCAAGUCGAGCGAACGGACGAGAAGCUUGCUUCUCUGAUGUUAGCGGCGGACGGGUGAGUAACACGUGGAUAACCUACCUAUAAGACUGGGAUAACUUCGGGAAACCGGAUCUAGUACCGGAUAAUAUUUUGAACCGCAUGGUUCAAAAGUAAAAGACGGUCUUGCUGUCACUUAUAGAUGGAUCCGCGCUGCAUUAGCUAGUUGGUAAGGUAACGGCUUACCAAGGCAACGAUGCAUAGCCGACCUGAGAGCGUGAUCGGCCACACUGGAACUGAGACACGGUCCAGACUCCGACGGGAGGCAGCAGUAGGGAAUCUUACGGAAGGGGGGAAAGCCGGACGGAGCAACGUCGCGUGAGUGAUGAAGGUCUUCGGAUCGUAAAACUCUGUUAUUAGGGAAGAAGAAAUGUGUAAGUAACUGUGCACAUCUUGACGGUACCUAAUCAGAAAGCCACGGCUAACUACGUG
rnacentral:rRNA from 1 species